AUUGAACGCUGGCGGCAGGCCUAACACAUGCAAGUCGAGCGAGCGGCGGACGGGUGAGUAAUGUAUGGGGAUCUGCCUGAUGGCGGGGGAUAACUACUGGAAACGGUAGCUAAUACCGCAUACCAUCAGAUGAACCCAUAUGGGAUUAGCUUGUAGGUGAGGUAACGGCUCACCUAGGCGACGAUCCCUAGCUGGUCUGAGAGGAUGAUCGACCACCCUGGGACUGAGACACUGCCCAGACUCCUCCGGGAGGCAGCGGUGGGGACUAUUGCUCAAUGGGCGCAAGCCUGAUGCAGCCAUGCCGCGUGUAUGAAGAAGGCCUUCGGGUUGUAAAUUACUUUCAGUCGGGAGGCGUUACCGACAGAAGAAGCACCGGCUAACUCCGUGCCAGCAGCCGCGGUAAUUC
rnacentral:rRNA from 1 species